CCAAAAAAAGGAACUGAAAGAUAUCGAUGGUGAUUCCAGGAAAAGUUCAAACGAGUCUCCACCGAUUGUCAAAUCAGAAGUUGUCACCAAUGAGGGGCCUUCUGCUGAUGGGGGAGAAAACGAACUAAACUUCUCUGACAUACAAAAUUCAACACGAAUAAAACGCACAUCUUACACGGAUGAAGACUCAGAAUUGAUGGGAAAAAGCCAGAAGGAUACGGAUAUGAACGGAUCAGCACAACAGGUCGAUUUUGGAGCUAUUCAUCAAGCAGAUGUGAUUAAUGACCAUUCUGAGAAACUGGCGUUUCCACAGUAUGAUGGAGUGCAUCAAGAGGUUGACGGGCACCUUGAGAGGCCAUAUGAGAUGUUCCGACAUCAGACUUACACUGAUCAAGAACAACAGCCACUGGAUGAACAAAAUGCCCGUCAAUAUGAAAAUCAGCCUCAACAUAGGUAUGAGGAGCAACCUCAACUUCCAUACGAGGAACAUCAACCUCAAGAUAGGGUACAGAAACAGACGUAUGCGGAGAAUCCUGAAUAUGAAAAUCAGUCUCAACAAAGGUAUGAGGAGCAACCGCAACUUUCUUACAAGGAACAUCAACGGCAAAAGAGGGCACAGAAACAGAAAUAUGAGGAGGACCCUGAAUAUGAAAAUCAGCCUCAACAAAGGUAUGAGGAGCAACAACAUUCAUAUGAAGGACUAAAACAGCAAAGUAAGGUUCCGAAACAACAGGUGUACGAAGAGAACCCCCCGCAACCAUUUGAGGUGCAAGAGCAACCACCAUACGAGAGUCAGGGGCAGCCACUGUAUGAUGAGCACUUACAACAACAGUACCUGGAGCAACAAGAACCCUAUAACGAAAUUGUGUAUGAUGGGUCAAGCACUCAAUACAGAGAUGAGUCUCACUAUGUUGAACAAAAUGAGAACUAUCCCCAGGAUCCAAACCAGUAUCCUAAGUUUGAAAAUUCGCGAGAGGAUGUUUAUGACGAAACUCAAAUUUACGAACAUUCUCAUGCACAAGAUGAAUUUAGGCAGUAUGAUGGACACGGGUCUCAGGAACUUCUUGCUCCAGAGCCUAUUUACGGUCAAGAUGGGAGGGUGGAAUAUUCAAGCUAUCAAAAUGAGUAUCCAGUGAACAAUGAGAAUUACGGAACUACACAACAGCUAGAGGAGUAUGCGCCUGGUACUGAAGGCGAAGAUUAUAGUCAAAGAAUUCCGGAGGAAUAUGGCAGAGGUUAUGAGAAUCAACACAUAACUUCUGGAGAAUAUGAGCAACCAAGAAACAUGUACGGCGAAGCAAAUGAUCCGAGCCCAUACGUCCACCACGCAGAAGAAUAUGGUCAAGACGGCUAUCAAGACCAAGAGUAUCGAACCAAUCAAGGUGAUCUCUUCGAACCGGAAGCUGAGUAUCCUACUCCCGAAUAUCAUCAGGAUCUUCAUUAUUCAGAUGAGCCACAAAAAUAUACUGAUGGUGUGCCAGAACAGUAUCAACGAGAAGAAUUGACUCAUAACACGCAUCCUUACUCACAGGAUGCACGUCGCACAGAUUACUCAUCUCAACAAGAAGUGUCUCGACAAGGAAACACACAAUAUGAAGAAAUGAAAGUCUCAAGAGCACAAGUGGAUGCAUACCAAGAGCCCCACCGCAAGACUACUAAAGAGUAACACCAGUUAACUUACUUCCAGGCAUUGACCCUACUACUACGGAAGAAUAAAUACUUGAAUCAGUAUAUUUACAUUCAAAGAGUAGAUGCUUGUCUUUCUUGUUUUUCCCGGUUACCAAGCCCCCUAUAACUCUCAUCACUUACGAUUUUUGAACAAAACAUUUACCACAAAGGUAUAAUCCUAAUUAAUAAGCCAUGAUGGACUCAAGACAUCUUGUUUAAUUUGUGAAUCCCAUUUUACAUUUGAAGAGGAAAAGUUAAUUUAUUACCGGAUACAUUUCUCAUCAUUUUUUACUUCCUUAAAAGUGGCAAAUUUUCCUAUUAUAGCUCGCAAGCAAAAUUGACCAAGACCAAAGUUUGAUCUCUCAGAGAUUUCUGGGACUCAUGCAUGAUUUCAAACUGAGAUUUGCACAUUAUUGAGCCUACAUACUCAAUCAUGGAGGCUUUAGAGUCAUUCAUAUUUAAGAAUGCUUGAAGUUGAUGAAGAUGGAACAGAUUUAAAAGACCUUUCAGUAACUACUAUUGAUCCUUCCUUCUAGAACACUUAUCCUUGUAGGAAAUAAUAGGAAAAAGCUAAAGAUCAAUUCAAGGCUAAAGUCAUUGAAAAAAAAGAAAAAAAUGCAGGAUGUUUCGGAACUUACGCUACAAUUCAUUAUCAACAGCAAACACAAGAGGAAAAUACUCAUAUGCCUAAGGUGUGCCUACUCACUAAAAUUACUCAUCUCUUUCCCUUCAGAGAGCGUGAAUAAAAAACCAGAGGGGUUCCAAAGGACCCUGAAUGAAUGGCCCUCAUAGUAUUGAAAAAAAAGCUGAUUUUGGCGCACCUUUUCAACUUCAAGUGUACUUGCCCAGAGUCUUAAAAUUUAGAGCAUGACAUGGAAGAGCAGAAAAAACUAUAAUGAUGUGAGUUAGUUGGAAUCAGUUACUUUUUAAUUAUUUACCCAGUGGAAGAGUAGGCAUUACAUGGGUGAAGAAGGUAAAUGUAAAUUAUGAAAAUGCUCUCACAAUAACGCCAAUUUACAAAGAGAAUACUUACAUGAAAUUAUUACAUGAAGUGUUUGGUUGAAUACUUGUACAAGCGGCUAAGUAUGAGAUCUGAAUUUAAUAAUAGUAAGCAUUUUCAAGUGACACAAAAAAGUUUAAAAAGCUACAAAAAGAGAGUAUGUACAAUGGAAUGGAAACAAAAAUAACUUGCAUGUACUUUGGCAAAAGAGAAAAAAAUAUAAUGAGAAUACAUUAAUUAUUUACCUACUGAUCAAGGUGAAUACAGUUUGGUCAAAUGAUGGAUUAAUUUUAUAAGGAAUAAAGAACACCGAGUUCAUUGGAUUAAUCUUAACCAGUAAUAACGCAGUUUUGCCGAGAAAAUAUUUUAUCAAAUUUUUUCAAAGUCAUAAUAAAAGUAUUCAAACAAAAUUACUAAAAUUGAUGUUUUUUUUUUAACAAUUGCUUUAGGGAGAAAAAACUUUCAUCACUUGAACCAACAAAGUCUAAUUAAUAAUAAAAAACAAAUUUCUAUAGCACAUUGCUAAUUUAGCCCUUCCAAGGAAUCUUUGUUUUCCGGAAAUUCAACGAAGACUAAGCAUUAUAUAUGUGCAGAACUAAUAACCUGUUCAAAUACUAUGGGUGAUAAAGUGUUGAUUUUUUUAUUCGACAAUACAUCAGAGUGAAUCAAUUCAAAACAGGACUUUUGACAAAAUUAGCCCCUGACACGUGAAACAUUGAAUGAAGAAUUGAAAAAAAAAAUAGAAUUAAACCUUUCUUAAUUGAGCUGCAUUUAAUAAGGAGAGGGAAUUCAAAGCAGCAUCGAAGAUCAAUUACAUUUUUGUUGCUAUUGACAGUAUGCUUUUCUAAUGUGCAAGUCUGAUUGCACUAACUGUUUUGAGUGUAUAAGCAAUUUACUAUGCACACUGCUGAUAAUUGUAUAUUGACAGAGAGACUACCAAAUGACGUAUCUUGUUUGCGGUGUUUAAAAAUCUCCACUCCAAUUUUAUUUUUUUGAAGGAGAACAAAUCAAUAUCAUUACUUGAAAUUUUCACAUUUUUUUUGAAAUUCUUUGAGAAGAAAAAACACAGAAGUUUUCAAGGAUUGACGUUGAGUAGUUUUCCAUUUAAAAAAUAAAGUCUCGACGUUGCAAACCGAAAUACUUGGUCUGGUAGUACUUUUUUUCAUUUCAUAGCUCACGUGAACUAUUGCCUAAUGAGUAGUAAAAUCCGAUUUUUAAUCUAACAGACCUUGUACUGUCACACACAAAAUAGGGAUUCCUGAUAUGAAGCAGUGUUUAAAAGUCAGAGAGGCACCUUUUCUACAGCAUUUUUUAAAAAAAAAAAUGACAAAAUGAAAAAAGAACUAAGACCUAAACUUAGGAAAAUAAUGAGCUGACCUAAAAAGAAAAAAGGAAAAAAAUUGAAUGACUUUUCAUAAUACUGGUCUCUAUUAAGAAGCCAAUUCAUUCAAUUUUCAAAAUACAUAGAAGAGAGAGAGGAAGGCACGAUUUUAUUAAAGAUUAAACUUUCUCUCAUGGUAAACUUAAAUUAAGACUUCGAUCAAGCUUUGACCAAAUCUUCUGAAUAUAAGGCAACAAAGAAAGGCACGAUUUUAUUCAAGAUUAAAAUUCCUCUUGCAGCACAUUAAACUCGACCUUCUUAUUAAUAUCGCCGUCAAAAAAUAAGCAAUGAGUGAAAUGUUCUGAUUUACAGCCAAUUGGGUAUCCAAACUCCCUUGCACCAACAAAUAAAACCAUGAGAAUGGUUAAAAUAAAAAAUGGGUAACAAGAAAAUUUUUGAGAUCAUACCUUUGGUGAUAGUGGUCUAGACAUGGGUCAAAUCUCUGAUGAACUCGUUAAUUACAUCUUUAAUAGCAUGUUCCUCUUUGUUAUUAGAGCCUGGUGAGUUCUGUUGGCUUGAGAGAUAGUUAGAAGCUAUUCCUUUGACUUUCAGCACAACCUCAACUUUUUGCUGAACAGACUGUGAAUAUAAAAUUAAGUUAAAAUUGGAUUCAACUUGACAAAAAUAUUAUGAAAAGAAUAUUGAUAAAAAUUUCAGGAGUCAGUCUAGUAGAUAAAAAACAAGCUACCUGCGUGAAUUAAAAAAUUUAAAUUACCCUUCCUAGUGCUUUCCUUCUUGGAAUUAAUGCUUCUUUUGCUUACUAGUUUUGAAACUACAGUAAGCUCUUUUCGCCAUUUUUUGACAAUUUUUUGUCCAUCUGCUAAUACUACAAAAAUCCGGGUUUAAAAAAUUUGUCAGGAUAUUUUUGGCCACAUUAUGAUCAAAAUCUAGUGGGACACUACGUGAUCUCCCUUUGUCUGUCUCAAAUGAUACUCUAAUUUUUUUUAAAAAAAGAACAUUCAUCACCAGAAGGAGAUUUUUAUCAGCUAUUUUACAGGAUUUCACCAUUUUUUUACUGAUGUAUUUGGAUUGGACUGGCCAGUUUUUCAUAAGUCAAAAUGACUAUGGUAAGAGAGUUUUUCAAGGUUGCCUUGCAAGGAGAGAGAGGGGUCAAAAAGUUGGCCGAGUAAAUUAUGCUUGAGAGCUAAUCAAUCAAUCAACAUUACCUUUGGGUUUAUGAUUUUCACUACUUCUGCUGACCAAAUGAAUCUUCCUGCUAGUUUGACGAAAAGCUGCCGACCCAUUGGAUGCCAUUCUCCACCUUCAGCUGGUUUCAAGCUUAGCUGAGCAUGAAUUCCCUGUGCGGGCAUUUUGGCAAAAUUUGUGUGCAAUAACCUCAACUCGGAACACUGCACCUUGCCGGUGAGUCCAUAAUCAAUUGAAAAAACCUGCAAACAGAGAGCUGGGUAUCAUGUCUUAUUCUUGUGCUGAUUAAACACCAAAUUACGAUCUGUUCAUUUAACUAAAAGAAAUAAUUAUUUCAGCACACUGUUGCCACAGUUAAGCCAUUAUUUUAAUUUCAAUGAUUAUCAAAAAUUUUGUUGACACUUGACAAAACGUUUCUUCACCAUAUUGUCUCAUAGUUGGCUAAAGCACAGGUAUCAAAGAAAAGCUAGAUAUAAAAGUUAAAAGUUAGAGAAUUGCACCGUGUAUCUGGCAGGACAUCUUGGUAAGGACCAAGUUCAGUUGAUCUGCAUAUGCACUGAAUACAGUUUACAAUGAUAACAUGAUAACAUGGUGGUUUAUGUUAGAUGCACCUGUGGUCAGGUAGCAAUUAUUUUAGACUCGUGGUCAGCACUUUGGAAAAGUUUCACUCCAUCUUUUUUUAUAGAGAGCAUUGUAGCAAGAGCAGUCAACCUCUCAGAACCCCCCCCCCCAAAAAAAAAAUAAAUAAAUAAAUAAAAAAAUAAAGUGUUUUCCAGUGGCACAUUGAUCUGUUCCAAGUGCUAAAAGUAAGUCUGUUCAGAAAUGAUCAAAAUGUGUAAAAUGUAUUUGUAAUUCCUUCAAAAUAUCUUUUCCUGUCAGGUAUACAGUUGAAUUGUGUGAAAUUUCAGGUGUUAAAAUUCUUACAGCCUCUUUCAAAUUUCAGGGUCGGGUGAAAUUCCCUGUCUGUUUCAGGUUUUCCUUAUCUUUUAUAGAACUUUUCAUCCAGUCGUUAGGUGCUUAUAAGAACUUCAUGAGAACUACUAUGUGGUUGGUUCCUUCCUCUGAAUGAUUUUACCCAUCAAAAAUCGGAGAGAGGAUCAAUUGGAUUGAAUUUUGCAAAAAGGAACCACUAGCAUUGCAAUGUUGCUAAGAUUGUGCAACUUCUUUUGUCUUGGAGGAAAAACCCGAUUAUCCAUUAAUAGUUUCUAUUUUACUUGCUAAAAACUGUAAAUUUAAGA
rnacentral:lncRNA from 1 species